CCCUUAGAUGUUCUGGGCAGCACGCGCGCUACAAUGGUCUUCGCAAACGGAUGCAUUCUCGAAGGAGAAUGCCAAUCUUGGAAUCUAUGCCUUGGUCGGGACAGUUGCUUGCAAUUUUUCGACUCGAACCAGGAAUUCCUUGUAAUCGUGAUUCAUCACAUCACGAUGAAUACGUCCCUGCCCUUUGUACACACCGCCCGUCGCACCUACCGAUUGAAUGGUCCGGUGAAAUCUUCGGACUCUGUGUUUAUUGAUUCGUUUCAAUUUACUACUGGAGAAAGUUGAGUAAACCUUACCAUUUAGAGGAAGGUGAAGUCGUAACA
rnacentral:rRNA from 1 species